AACGAACUCUGGCGGCAGGCCUAACACAUGCAAGUCGAACGCACCGCAAGGUGAGUGGCGCACGGGUGAGUAACACGUGGGAAUGUACCCUUUGGUUCGGAAUAACGUUUGGAAACGAACGCUAAUACCGGAUGAGCCCUACGGGGGAAAGAUCUAUCGCCAAAGGAGCAGCCCGCGUCUGAUUAGCUAGUUGGUGGGGUAAAGGCCUACCAAGGCGACGAUCAGUAGCUGGUCUGAGAGGAUGAUCAGCCACACUGGGACUGGGACACGGCCCAGACUCCUACGGGAGGCAGCAGUGGGGAAUAUUGGACAAUGGGCGGAAGCCUGAUCCAGCCAUGCCGCGUGAGUGAUGAAGGCCUUCGGGUUGUAAAGCUCUUUCGCACACGACGAUGAUGACGGUAGUGUGAGAAGAAGCCCCGGCUAACUUCGUGCCAGCCGCCGCAGUAACAC
rnacentral:rRNA from 1 species